CUAGCGACCCCCUCUCCUGCGACCCUAUCGGAUAGUAAUGAUGCCGCGCCAGUGCAUUGAACCGAAACCUGGGAGAGAUCGAAACGAGGCUGCGUCAUCGAUUAAAUCACCCUCCCUCUCGCUGUUAUAAGCUCUCCUCUAGCUCGUCCUCAUCCAAAAUCAACCUCCCAUUUACUUCCCUUUCCCCUAAAACUCUUGCUCCACCAAAGGAAAUUGAGAUCGCGUCGCCGUCGGGUGUCGAACACCUGGUGAGCGAGGGGUUGCACCGCUGCCGCAGGGCCUCUCGCCCGGUGUGGGUGGCGGGAUGUGGAGAGGAGGUGCUCGUGUUGCCAUUGCUGCUGUUGGAGGGAGUCGGGAGCUGCUGAACAAGGAAAACCGGGCGUCGAACAUCUGCGACCAUCGCCGACCGCCGGCUGCCCCUUUUUCGACCACACCGCACCACGCGCCAUCAAACUUCGCCGUUCCGCCACUCCGUGAUAUCCGAGGGAAUUGUUGAGUCGAUUGAGGAGCAGGGACAGCAAGACUGUGAUCCAGGAAGUGGAUGGCAAUGAAGUCGAGGAGGAUCCCUAUGCUUAUCUUUAGGAGGAUGCAGAGGAUGACGGCGCUCUGUAGGUCUUAGUUACGGUCGUUGCCUGUGGCAAUGACAUGGCCGCUGCCUUAUCUAUUUCUGCUUUGGCAUGUAUUCCGGACCGUUCGGUCCUAUGUUCUAGUCAAUGCCUGCGGGCCUAUGAUGUAAUAAUUUAUGCUAGACAAUCUUUGUAUGUGUACUUGGUAUUUCAGCAAUGUAACAUGAGUGAUUCCUGUUAUAAAAAUGGGGGACGACAGUGCUAUGCCACGAUAUUCAUGGGAUCCAAA